GGAGAGGUGCGUGAGUGGCUGAAACGACCGGUUUGCUAAACCGGCAAGCGGGUAAACUGCUUCACGGGUUCGAAUCCCGUCCUCUCCGCAA
rnacentral:tRNA from 1 species